ACUUGUUUAAACACAGCUGAGUGGUGGACUUUAUUGUGCAGGAAAGGGAAAGGGGAAAUUGCACCGUGACGUCCAAGUACCUAACGGAGUACAAAGUCCUGCACCAGACUGCAAUCUAUCAGAGCAACUUUAAAUUCACUACAGCCUUUUCUUUGGGUUGUUUUUGAUGGUUGACAUUUUUCUGUUCGAUUUGCGAAAGGAUUUUUUUGUUUUUAAUAUUGUAAAACUGCAUCCAAGCUUCCUGGAGUGCUGUGCCCUACCCCUGGAAAGUGAGCUUGCUUUUGAAUGAAUGCACUCUUGCCACUUCCAGACUCAAUCUCUGACUCAUAAUCCAUUGUACAGUAGGGAAGGUGCCAUGAGGCUGCAACACUGCCUCUCCUGGAGCCUCUCUUUGCUACUUCUGCUCUUGUUGACUUGUGGGUACCAGUGCGUGUCGGUCCACUUCCAGACCCCGCAGCCGGUCAAUGUACUCCCAGCAGGACGUCUAGUUCUCCAGGUCCAGAUCGACCGCGGUCCCAAAGAAAAUAUCUCCAUGAUAACCUGGUAGUGGGAGCCAGAGAAUGCAAAAACCCCCGGGAAUCCUGGGAAAAUGACGUUGAUUACGUACCCCGGUCAAGAAAAACGCUUGGACGGGCGUCUGAGUCUGGAGCAGUAGGGGCCAAUACUGAAGCUGGAGGGCUUUGGCGUGGCGGACAGCAGAGUGUACAUCGUGACCGUCACUGACCAGGCUGGCGUCAAGACCUGUGCACAGUGUAUCGUCAAGGAGUACGGUACGACGAUCAAUAUGGUCUCAUUAGAAUAUAGCAAAAUUGUGACAUUUAACCGUUGUUCUAUGUCACCUAUGCUGACUUAUUACUUAAAUGUAACUAUAAUGAGGUGUUAGUUAUGUGACAAUACGGCUGACAGACGUUCUGAUUACGUUGCUGUUUUGAAUACAUUCCUAGACAUUCCUUCCUGUCCCCAUGGAGUUAUGUUCUUAUAGAGGAAUAACUGUUGGGUCAGUUCUGCCUAAGCUCAUUCUUUGUCUUUAUAAUAUAAAUGUAUGCUUCACUGUAGUCCAACACUCAAAUUUGAGUCUGUAAUAUUUCAGGUUAUCAGUCCAAUGACUCUUCAAUCCCUCUUCAAUAGUUCCAAGCUCUAUAUUUGUCUCUGUCAAAUGUCUUCUUUCUAAGUUUCUGAUCUGUUUUCUCCUCACAGCCUCAUACUCCUCAAGUCACCACCACCAAGCCUCAGUAGACAACACGCUCAACUCACCCUGUUACUUCACAACACAACCAACCUCUGUUCUCUCUCCACUGUCUCUCUCUUUCUCCUUUUGAGACAAUUUUCAGUUGCAACUUCCAAGUCUCCCCUUUCUCACACCUGGUCUCCUUCUCUGUUCUCUGUCUCUUGUCUUUCCUCUCAGAGGCUGUGCACCACCCCUCAGUGAGAGUGAACGUGUCCCACUCCUCCCCGUUUUGUGUGGAGACCUGGGGGACAGACCUUAAAUUCAGCCGGCUCCACGAGCGGGCAGACAUCACCGAUGCUGUGGGACACAUGUCGCCUGAUGGGAAGACCCUGUUAAUCUCCUCCUCAUCCAACUGUGGUCACUUCACUUGCAUGGUGAGCAACAAGCUGGGCCACAGCUCUGCCACCUACACAGCAGGAGACACAAGCGAUACAGUAACAGGAGAGAGGCUUCAGGAGCAUUUUGAGGACAACUAGUAAUGGUGAACCAUUGAUUACAGUACCCAAGUACUUUCGCUACACUCCCCAACUCAAAGAUGGACUCAUAAAAGGACAGUAAGUGUGUAAAACACUUUGGGAGGAGCUUCCUUCCCUGUGAGCAGCAAGACCUUUCAGUGCAUUGGAACAAUGUGGAAAGUGAACUGCUUUGUUGGCCAAUUGACGAGUUCUAAAAUUGGAAAUAUCAACUUUUUCCCAGUGUGUUGCCUAUUUUUGUAGUAGCUAUUAUUUUUACCCCGCCUCUCAUUGUACUGAACUACACUUGACAUUCUUACCCCGCCUCUCAUUGUACUGAACUACACUUGACAUUCUUACCCCGCCUCUCAUUGUACUGAACUACACUUGACAUUCUUACCCCGCCUCUCAUUGUACUGAACUACACUUGACAUUCUUACCCCGCCUCUCAUUGUACUGAACUACACUUGACAUUCUUACCCCGCCUCUCAUUGUACUGAACUACACUUGACAUUCUUACUCCGCCUCUCAUUGUACUGAACUACACUUGACAUUCUUACUCCGCCUCUCAUUGUACUGAACUACACUUGACAUUCUUACUCCGCCUCUCAUUGUACUGAACUACACUUGACAUUCUUACUCCGCCUCUCAUUGUACUGAACUACACUUGACAUUCUUACUCCGCCUCUCAUUGUACUGAACUACACUUGACAUUCUUACUCCGCCUCUCAUUGUACUGAACUACACUUGACAUUCUUACCCCGCCUCUCAUUGUACUGAACUACACUUGACAUUCUUACCCCCGCCUCUCAUUGUACUGAACUACACUUGACAUUCUUACCCCGCCUCUCAUUGUACUGAACUACACUUGACAUUCUUACCCCGCCUCUCAUUGUACUGAACUACACUUGACAUUCUUACUCCGCCUCUCAUUGUACUGAACUACACUUGACAUUCUUACCCCGCCUCUCAUUGUACUGAACUACACUUGACAUUCUUACCCCGCCUCUCAUUGUACUGAACUACACUUGACAUUCUUACUCCGCCUCUCAUUGUACUGAACUACACUUGAGAUUUUUUUAUAUAACGCUCUAAAAUUAUUCGUUUUAAAAACAAUUCCUUAUUCUGUCAUGUUUCUAUAUUGUAAACAUAUUGUAUAUUUUGCUGUGUAUUCUUUGUAGUAAAAAGCCGUUUUUAAACUGUGUGAGGCUUCAGUUAAAUUGGUCGCUAUUGUAAAUCCACAAUUCAGUCAGGGAAUGGGAGUCAAAGUACAACCGCUCCAUACGUAGUGAAUUUCAAAACGCUUUACAGCCAUGAAUAAAAGGGUGCUUGCGUUCGUGCGUGUGUGUCCA